rnacentral:ncRNA from 1 species
GAAAGGCCAUAUUCGUCUAUAUGGCUGGAUGCGUCAGAAGCAUCCCAUUUAAG